rnacentral:rRNA from 1 species
UACGGAGGGGGCGAGCGUUGUUCGGAAUCACUGGGCGUAAAGGGUGCGUAGGCGGGUCUUUAAGUCAGGGGGGAAAUCCUGGAGCUCAACUCCAGAACUGCCUUUGAUACUGAAGAUCUUGAGUUCGGGAGAGGUGAGUGGAACUGCGAGUGUAGAGGUGAAAUUCGUAGAUAUUCGCAAGAACACCAGUGGCGAAGGCGGCUCACUGGCCCGAUACUGACGCUGAGGCACGAAAGCGUGGGGAGCAAACAGG